rnacentral:rRNA from 1 species
GAUGAACGCUGGCGGCGUACCUAACACAUGCAAGUCGAACGAAGCACCUUACCUGAUUCUUCGGAUGAAAGUUUGGUGACUGAGUGGCGGACGGGUGAGUAACGCGUGGGUAACCUGCCCUGUACAGGGGGAUAACAGCUGGAAACGGCUGCUAAUACCGCAUAAGCGCACGAGGAGACAUCUCCUUGUGUGAAAAACUCCGGUGGUACAGGAUGGGCCCGCGUCUGAUUAGCUGGUUGGCAGGGUAACGGCCUACCAAGGCAACGAUCAGUAGCCGGUCUGAGAGGAUGAACGGCCACAUUGGAACUGAGACACGGUCCAAACUCCUACGGGAAGCAGCAGUGGGGAAUAUUGCACAAUGGGGGAAACCCUGAUGCAGCAACGCCGCGUGAGUGAAGAAGUAUUUCGGUAUGUAAAGCUCUAUCAGCAGGGAAGAUAAUGACGGUACCUGACUAAGAAGCUCCGGCUAAAUACGUG